rnacentral:rRNA from 1 species
UACGGAGGGAGCUAGCGUUGUUCGGAAUUACUGGGCGUAAAGCGCACGUAGGCGGUGAUUCAAGUCAGAGGUGAAAGCCCCCGGCUCAACUGGGGAGGGUCACUCGAUACUGAUCGACUUGAAGGCAGGAGAGGGAAGCGGAAUUCCCGGUGUAGUGGUGAAAUGCGUAGAUAUCGGGAGGAACACCAGUGGCGAAGGCGGCUUCCUGGCCUGUUCUUGACGCUGAGGCGCGAAAGCUAGGGGAGCAAACGGG